rnacentral:rRNA from 1 species
UACGAAGGGGGCUAGCGUUGCUCGGAAUCACUGGGCGUAAAGCGCACGUAGGCGGAUCUUUAAGUCAGGGGUGAAAUCCCAAGGCUCAACCUUGGAACUGCCUUUGAUACUGAAGAUCUUGAGUUCGGGAGAGGUGAGUGGAACUGCGAGUGUAGAGGUGAAAUUCGUAGAUAUUCGCAAGAACACCAGUGGCGAAGGCGGCUCACUGGCCCGAUACUGACGCUGAGGCGCGAAAGCGUGGGGAGCAAACAGG